rnacentral:tRNA from 1 species
GCAGCGGUAGUUCAGUGGGUAGAGCAACCGAAGAUUCGGGAGGUCGUUGGUUCAAAUCCAACUCGCUGCA